rnacentral:misc_RNA from 1 species
AGGACACUCUUUUAAGUAUUAAAAUGCCUCAGGGUUUCUUGUAGUUUUAUAGCAGAAUUUCCAAUUUUGAGUCAUUUGAAGAUUUUGGGUUACUCUAGUUCAUUUCAGUUGCUUAACAUUGAUUUGUUUCAGUUUCAUCAACUCAAUUUUUAACUCAUGUUGAUUUGUGUAAAAUAUGAAAACAGAAUGGACAGAAGAGCAAUGUUGCAUUUACGAGUAUCUGCUACAUUGGAUUUCUGUUCAAUCUUGUUUACUUGAGUACUAAAGUUUCAGUAAAAUAGAAUUUGGACAACCAGUUUGGAGUAAAUCAAUAUUUAGUGAAGGACCAGAACUUGAGCAGUAAGUUGGGUGAAAAAUGAUGCAUUUUGACCAAUAAGUUUUUGAAAUAGAAAUUACAGCCAUAUCAAAUUGUUAUGACUAAUAAGGAGAAUAAUGGGCUGUGAUUGUAUGGGAGAGUAACGGAAUAGUUAGGGUGGCCUGUGAUAGUUAGCUGAAGAAUUGAAAAUUGUAGGAAGAUUGUAAUUGGUGGGAACAAUUAUGGGAAGGGCUGGUAGCCGUAUAAAUAAUAGCUAUUGUAACU